rnacentral:rRNA from 1 species
AAUUGAACGCUGGCGGCAAUGCCUUACACAAUGCAAGUCGAACGUGAAAGCGGGGCAACCCGCAAGUAGAGUGGCGGACGGGUGAGUAAUACAUCGGAACGUGUCCAGUAAUGGGGGAUAACCUAGCGAAAGUUAGGCUAAUACCGCAUACGAUCUGCGGAUGAAAGCGGGGGAUGCGGCACUAAAGGCUUUGGCGAAGGUGGCCAAAGGUGAGUCAAGAGUCUUUAGUGCUGCACCUCGCGUUAUUGGAGCGGCUGAUGUCU